rnacentral:rRNA from 1 species
GUCGGGAAUAUUGCGCAAUGGAGGAAACUCUGACGCAGUGACGCCGCGUGCAGGAAGAAGGUUUUAGGAUUGUAAACUGCUUUAGACAGGGAAGAAAUAAGACAGUACCUGUAGAAUAAGCUCCGGCUAACUACGUGCCAGCAGCCGCGGUAAUACGUAGGGAGCAAGCGUUAUCCGGAUUUAUUGGGUGUAAAGGGUGCGUAGACGGGAUGGCAAGUUAGCUGUGAAAUCCCUCGGCUCAACCGAGGAACUGCAGCUAAAACUACUAUUCUUGAGUGCUGGAGGGGAAAGUGGAAUUCCUAGUGUAGCGGUGAAAUGCGUAGAUAUUAGGAGGAACACCAGUGGCGAAGGCGACUUUCUGGACAGUAACUGACGUUGAGGCACGAAAGUGUGGGGAGCAAACAGGA